AGCCUCAGUCAAAAUCCAU
rnacentral:snRNA from 1 species